UUCGGCGGUGGAGCAGUAGAAUGUGGAAGUGGAGCUGAGAGUAUGAAUGGAGUGGGUAAUGGAUGCCAGCGGGGCCCUGGGCGGGAGGUGGUGGUAGUUCAUUGAAUUGCAGAGAGAAGCAGUGUCGCUCAGGUUUAAAGAAAAACAGCAAAUACUUAUAAGAACAAAUGGCAGAAAUCUUGAUGGAUUAUUUUUAAAAAAAAUCAGGGCGUACUUAUAGCACUGGAAUACCACGGAAUUUACACGUUAAAUGUUAGCUAUUGCUGGACAAACUAUGAAUGAAAAUACAAAUUCAUCACUUGACCCCAACAAGGACGAUCUUCCUCUCAUGGCCAAUACUAGUUGUAUGCUGGUCAGACAUUAUGUAUUAGAUCUAGCAGUAAAUUUUGACAGAGAAGUCAUCAACGGUACCAUUGUCCUCUUCCUAGAAACCAACAAAGUGUACAAAAGAACAUCCAACCCUGUGGGAGCAGGUCAGCAACUCUCCUUACAAGGACUAUUUGAAACUGAGCAACUAGGACCUUCAUGCAGUCUGACUUCUGCAUGUGAGGAUCAGAUGAGCAAUCAAGCUAACCACCGUGAUGGCAGAGUUACCAAUGUUAAUAGUUGUAACUAUAGCAACAAUGAGUGGGCUGGAGAGAGAUCUGGUACAAGGGAGCUCUGCGAUGACGGGAAGGAUUUUGUGCUGGUGCUGGACUGUUGCGACCUUGUGGUGAAUAAGGUGGAGGAAGUGAAUGUUACUGCUGCAGCAGGUGCUGACAGGUUGAAUGGAAUGGACGUGCUCAAGCCAGAAGAUGGCACUUUUUCUCAGGGACUGCAGGAUGAUCCCCAGAAUAGCAUAGUGGAUGAAAUUCUAGGUUUAUCAGCAGAUCGCUGGCAGGAGCAACAUAAUUAUUACCUCCAGUGUAGCAACGUGCCUGGCUGUGGAGAACUCCAGUUUCAGACCGACACAUGGAGCAUGAAAAUAAGGAAACCAGGAAUACAAAGCCCUCAAGACUUCCCUCGUGUAUUGAGGAUCUGGUAUGAAACGAAACCAGAGGGUGGCUCGGUUAAAUGGACUAAGGACCAAAGUGGCAGACCCUGUGUAUACACAGCAGGAUCUCCUAUAAACAACAGAGCACUGUUUCCAUGUCAGGAGCCUCCAGUAGCCAUGGCAACUUGGCAAGCCUCGAUUUGGGCCCCCAACGAUACUGUGGUUCUAAUGAGUGGUGAAAAUUGUGCUGAACCCCACCAGGCUGGAGCUUUCUCAAAAUGGUUCUAUUAUGUGACCAUGCCAAUGCCAGCAUCUACUUUCACUCUUGCUGUUGGAUUCUGGCUUGAAGUUAAACAUGAACACACUUUUGAAUCCCACUUGCAAAGUCCAUUAUCCUCAUCUUCAAACUUUAUAAAUGAAAACCCCAGUGUUUCCAUGACAACCUGUGAUCAUCCAGCCUAUCCAUGUCGUUUCCAAAAUCCUCUUGCCCAAGUCCAGGAUUGUAUUCCUCACCGAGUCUUUGCUCCGGAUAGUCUGAAAUUAAGAAGCCAGGAGUUUCUGCUUCCUCUGUUAGCUCAGUGCCUUCCUGCAGCUUGUUGUAUUCUCGGCACUCAUCCUUUCUGCAGGGUCGAUGUACUGGUUGUUCCUGCUGGUUUUUCUAGUCUGGGAAUGGCUAGUCCACACAUCAUCUUCCUAUCGCAGUCUGUUCUGUCUGGAGGAAUCCAUCUCUGUGGAAUUCGACUGUGCCAUGAAAUAGCUCAUGCCUGGUUUGGAUUAGCCAUUGGUGCUCGUGAUUGGACUGAAGAGUGGAUAAGUGAAGGCUUUGCUACUUAUUUGGAGGACAUAUUUUGGGCAAAAGCACAGAAGCUGUCACAGGAAGCAAUGCAAGAACAACAGCAACUAAGGUCCUUGCUGCGAUGGAGAAGGCUCAGAGAAGAAAUUCAGAACUCUGAAGAAGAAUUGCAAGUUUUGAGGCCUAACAAGGAGAACACAGGAGAAGUGAACAGCACCAGUGCAACAAUCAUCAAACAUGGUCGAAAUCCAGGAAAAGUCUUUAUGCAAGUUCAUUACUUAAAGGGUUAUUUUCUGCUCCAUUACCUUGAGAACCAAGUGGGACAAAAAGCUUUUCUCAAUUUUUUGGGGUUAUUUGUGGAGAGGUUUCAUGGGCAACUAAUUCUUUCUCAGGAUUUUCUACACAUGUUUAUGGAGAAUUUUUCAGAACUUGGAAGUCAGGGGCUGUCUACGGAAACUAUCUAUCGAGUCUGGUUGGAUGUAGCAGGAUUGCCAAAGCCUCUUUUGGAUGAAGCUGUGCAGUGGACGGAAAACCGACUAGUCCGUGAAGUGAAGAAUGAGGUGACAAAAUGGGUCACGAUCGAUGAAAAGGUCAGAAAAGGCUCCCGCAAAAGGAAGCGCAACCGCAAGGACGAGGUGACUUUCAGAGAGCUUUUGCCAGACCAACUGGUUUUGCUCCUGGAAUUUGUGUUGGAGAUGAAGUCCUUGUCUUCCAAAACACUGCAGAGGUUGCAGAAGCAGUAUUCCCUAAGGGAGCAGGAUGUAGAGGUGCGCCAUCGCUGGUGUGAGCUGGUUAUUAAGCAUAAACUCACUGGGGCAUACAGGGACUUGAUCAAUUUCCUGAAACGGGAUCAGGCAAUGGGAGUCUACAUCUAUGGUGAGUUGAUGGUUAAUGAAGAUGCCAGGCAGCAGCAACUAGCUCGCAGGUGUUUUGCCAUGCUUAAAGAAGAGAUGGAUCCAUCCUUGCAGAAGGUGGUGGCAGAAAUGCUGUUCUAGCCAAGUGAGCGCCAACGAGCAGGUCCAUGCAGAACAGAUAAAUGGUGUUGGCCGGGUACACUUAUCACACUGCAAAUUUAGACAGCAGCCACCAUUGUGCGAACCACUUCUAUUGCAAGUCUUUUCAACUGUCAGUGUGAGAAGAUUUUCAAUUAUUUUCCUUAUUACUUGUAUAUGAAGACAUUGUUUUUGGACUAAUAUAUAUUGUAUUUUUAGACAUUUAAAAUUAACCUGCAUAGUAUUUUUAUUCAUUAUUAUGAAAUGUCCAAAUGUGCAUGUAAUGUUCCUUAUCAAUUUUAGUGAUACAUUUUGCAGUAUGGGCAAUAUUUAAGUAUUGCCACAGUGAUUUGUAACCCAGGACUAAUCCACUGGUAAAGACACAAUGCUUAAUUAUUCUUAUUUGUUUACUAGUCUUGUAUACAGAAUGUUGAAGAGAUUUAAUUUGUUCACUGCACUGAAAACAUUGAAUUUUACAAAUUUUGCAUCGCAGUAUGAUCUACUCUGGAUAUAAAUUAAAUACAUAACAUACAGUAUAUGUGUCUCCAUUCUAUCUGAUUUGAUAAACAGCUUAAUUUGCAUAUUCCAUACUUACACAUCAGAAUUAAAAUGUAUCCUCUGUUAUAUUCACCAAAUGCACGAUUUUGGAGCAGUGCACUUUGAUUUUCUGAUUUUCAGAUUUGGCUUUGGUAACUUUAGCCUUUUCUCUUGCGGGCAGAAAAGAAUUGUCAGUCAAGAAAUCUUGUGGUCAGCAACUAAAUAUUGCAAUAUGAUAUAAAAAAGUCAGGACAUGCAGAGAGUCCCCCAAGGAAGGAAGCCACACAUUUUGAUUGCAGUAACCAGACUUCUAUGCUCACAAGUCUCACCAUUUUCCUUUCUGAAAUUUAAGCUGAGUAUUCAUAACCUUAAGAUUCUAAGGUUUAACUGUUCUAUGACAUCUAAGAAUGUAUGGGAAUCAGGGCUUGAUGUGCUUUUGAAGGAAAGGUGGUCCAUUUCAAUCCAAUGCUAGAUUGCAUCUGUAUUCCAGAUUUAUAAUGCCAUUUCCUCUUUGAAGUAACACAUUUAGAACAUAAGUGCGACUUGUGUUUUAUGACCCUUUUAUUGUUAUUUUGAAUUAUUGUGAAUUUAUAAUACUUUGAUAUAAAAACUGAGGAGCAAUGUGUUGAAGCAUCAACUCAAAACAAAAAUGGUUUUAUUUUACUUCAGCUUGAGGUUGUGGGAGAGUGAAUUGUUUCCUUUAAUCUUUCAUGGCUUUAAUUUACUUAGUAUUGAUGGACUCAUAAUUAACAGCCAAAUUAUACAUUUUAUUAAGAAGUAUUGACACCAUGAUGUCCUUAAUAUCUAAAGCUGCAAUAUCAGCCCAGGCUUAAGCCAGCUUUGCACGUUUAGUUGGAGCUCUGGGGACCUAUGGGUAUCUGUGGGAUUAGGAAUGAAUAGCAAGAUUAAGCAAAAUAUGUACCAUUACUGCUGUCAAACUAACCUACCUAUGCACGGUAAAACUCCAACAAUGUGCUAUCCAUCAAUUCAGUAUUCUCAGUAAUUCAGCAUCUGGCUCACCAGAUAUUUUCUGUGCUCCCUUCCCAUUCAUCCUCUGCUGUCAUUCUCCCUUACCAGACAUCAAAUGCCAAGUUUCCACAGUCCUCGCCCACUCACUACGAGUUCAGUUCCCAGGUUUUCUUCUUUACACCGAAGCCCUGGUUGCCACAGUCCAUUCAAACUCACCAGAAUAAUUUAUUAUUAUAAUGUGCAAAGUCAAAGUAAAAAUGAACACAAUACAUGUUGGGCAUUAAUACAGAGAACAUCCAGUAGUUUGGAUAAUCUGCAACCAAAGAGCCAUUCUGGCAUGUAAAACCAUGGUCUCCUCUACUGCCACGAUGAGGCCACUCUCAGGGUAGAGGAGCAAUACCUCAUAGUCCAUCUGGGUAGCCUCCAACCUGGCAGCAAUAACACUGAUUUCUCCAACCUUCGGUAUUUCUGCCCUAUCCCCCAUUCUGGUUUCCCUCUUGCCUCUUCUACUUGCCUGUCUCCCUUCCUUUAGGACCUGUCCUCCUCUUUCUCCCAUGGUCCAUUCCCCUCUCUUAUCAGGUUUCUGCUUCCAUACUUUAUCUUUUACACCUAUCGCCUUCCAGCUUCUCUCUUCAUUCACCUCUUCCCCUAUCUACCUUCCCACUCACCUAGCUUCACCUAUCACCUUAGAGUUUGUGCUCACUCCCUUCCCCUCACCUUCUCAUACUGGCUUCUUUCCCCUUCAGUCCAGGUGAAGAGUCUCAGCCUGAAAUGUAGACUCAAUUCGUCUCCAUAGAUGCUGCCUGACCUGCUGACUUCCUCCAGCAUUCUUUGUGCCCAGUGUACUUGUAAAUGCAGUAUAUCCAGAAUCUUCCAAACAGCAAGUGGGUAAUAGAGGCGAGUGACAACUGAUUUUCCGAAGCUCGCACUUUCAGCAGCGAAAGAAAAUGAACUGCAUGGGUUGACUUCCAGCAGGUUCUGAAACGACAGAGAUGUGGCGCUUGUCAGAUGAACCAGCUAUGUCGCAGACUCACAGUCGGCAGUUCCAAAGGAGGUCAGCUAAGAGUGUGCAGUAUUCCCAGACAGCUGUCUUCGUGCUUCGGAAUGCAUUAGGACCUGCAGCUGAGAUCAAGCAUGCUUUGGAGUUGUGAAAGGAGUGCCGCAGUCCCUUGGACAGAUGGAGAGAUGCCCUUCAGCGCACACCAGCACCAGCCAGGGUGAACAGAACGUUCAGGUGCUGCUGUGCUCCACAAAACAUCGUACAUAAAGCAAAUUUUUCAGAAAAGAAACGAGGGAUGAAAGGAGGAAAAUGAUAACAUUGGAAGUCCAGGCACUAUGUUGGGAACUGAGUGGGAACAGGGCAGCCUUGAGUGAGGGAAGUUAUCUCUUCCACUUCCCCUUUUGCCUUAAUUCAGCUGUGUUUCCUCUCUCUCGCUCACUUGAGAGCACCGUUUGUCAUUGAUCAGCGUGGCACCAUAACAGAAAGUCGUGGGGAUUAGUCAUCAUGUGGUCAUAGACACUGGCUUUUGGUACAUGUGUGCCACUGAUCAAGUUGCCAAUUUCUGAACAGUAUAUGAAUUAGCACUUCCUGUGGAAAUAUGUUUCGAUGCAGUGCCCUGUUUCAUCA